AUUGAACGCUGGCGGCAGGCCUAACACAUGCAAGUCGAACGGUAACAGGAAGCAGCUUGCUGCUUUGCUGACGAGUGGCGGACGGGUGAGUAAUGUCUGGGAAACUGCCUGAUGGAGGGGGAUAACUACUGGAAACGGUAGCUAAUACCGCAUAACGUCGCAAGACCAAAGAGGGGGACCUUCGGGCCUCUUGCCAUCGGAUGUGCCCAGAUGGGAUUAGCUAGAGGUGGGGUAACGGCUCACCUAGGCGACGAUCCCUAGCUGGUCUGAGAGGAUGACCAGCCACACUGGAACUGAGACACGGUCCAGACUCCUACGGGAGGCAGCAGUGGGGAAUAUUGCACAAUGGGCGCAAGCCUGAUGCAGCCAUGCCGCGUGUAUGAAGAAGGCCUUCGGGUUGUAAAGUACUUUCAGCGGGGAGGAAGGGAGUAAAGUUAAUACCUUUGCUCAUUGACGUUACCCGCAGAAGAAGCACCGGCUAACUCCGUG
rnacentral:rRNA from 1 species